GAGAGCUUCAUGUGGAUGAUCCGUAGAGUUCAGACAUGCUAUGUAGCUGCAUCACGAUGAUCAAACUCUCCCGACGGUGAUCAGAUUGCGGCGAUCUACUAUCCGCUUAAAGGUAUUAUGUUCUGAACACAUUACAGUAAAGUGUUUACUGUUUGAAUUUGAAAUUUAAAUUUAAAUGCGUGCAUGCUAUAUAUCAUAUUUAGAUCUUAGUGUAAGA
rnacentral:lncRNA from 1 species